GAAGAAUAAUAAAGCUUUUCAGUACAAGUGAAGCCACGGGGUACAAAAUACAGGGUAAUAAACUCUCAUCACAAGGUCAACAUUUACUCUUCUUCCAGCAUCCACAAAAGUGAAAGGAUGGUUACAAUCUCUCCCCUCCCUUCCCUAUCUAUUAACCAAAUCAGGCAUUCAGACAAUAUAUCCCCUCUAUUUAAAAUAUGUUAAUCAAUAGUAUUAGGCCAUUAUUUUCUUUAGAAAGUCUUUAAAGUGGGGAGGACAGUAUUCACUAUUGCACAGCCCUCGCGAAAACCCCAUUGAAGCAGGUGAUUUAGACAUAUAACUCAGGAAAUGAAUCAUGACCCAAGAGAAGGUACAACUUACUGUACUGUCAAAUUGUGCCUUGGUUGCUCCACAUUUCAGUGCAAUAGCAAUGCCCUGCGUAAAACACCC